GCUCAUUAAAUCAGUUGCGAUCUACUCGGCGUUCCGCGCCGCCGGAUAACCGUAGUAAUUCUAGGGCUAAUACGUGCGAAGCGCCCGAAGCCGCGAGGCGACGGGCGUUCUCGCCGGAUGUAGGAACCGACCCGGGGACCGCCGGGGCAACCCGGCGCCCCCGAGACGGGGCGAACCACGGUGAAAUGACGGAUCGUCGGCCCCGCGCCGGCGACUCGCCGAAUGAGUUUCUGACCUAUCAACUCGAGACGGCGGGGUAGAGGCCCCGCCGCGGUAACGACGGGGUAACGGGGAAUCAGGGUUCGAUUCCGGAGAGGGAGCCCGAGAAACGGCUACCACUUCCAAGGAAGGCAGCAGGCGCGCAACUUACCCUAAUCUCGAUUCGAGGAGGUAGUGACAAGAAAUACCGAUGCGGGACCCUACGGGGUGCCCGCGUUCGGAAUGAGUACGAUUCGAACCACCUAACGAGGAACGAUCGGAGGGCGAAGUCUGGUGCCAGCAGCCGCGGUAAUUCCAGCUCCAAUAGCGUACGUUAAAGUUG
rnacentral:rRNA from 1 species